UUUGACUUUGAUUGUCACAAUCUCCUUUUCUCUUUUCCAGGACGGGCAGGACCGCGAGUAUGCGGCAUGCUCGCCAUCACAGUUGACACAAUGUGGAGUGUUCCGGCACGUUUCGGAGGAAUGUUCAUUGUCACUGCACUUGGCACAAGUCAGCCGGCCUCGACAGUUCUGUGAACUGUGGCCGAAACGUUGGCACUUAAAGCAUCUGAGAGGAUUGGGAACGUAUGGCCGAACACGAAGUUUGAUAUAACCGGCCUCGAUGGACUCGGGAAGGACACUUGAGCCGAAAUGACUCUAUUUGGACUCUCGAGCUUCAGUGUUUUUGGACAGACAUUUCAAGCGGAGAAUUCCCCUGGCUUUGUCACGCUUCUUUCAACCUUUUUUGUCAGUGUGACAGGCGUCGUUAUUAGGCAAAAUUAAUAAAAUGGUUUUGCGUGCGUCA